rnacentral:tRNA from 1 species
GCUCGAGUGGCGGAAUUGGUAGACGCGCUAGCUUCAGGAGCUAGUGUCCCUCGGGACGUGCUGGUUCAACUCCAGUCUCGAGCACCA